rnacentral:rRNA from 1 species
GAUGAACGCUGGCGGCGUGCCUAAUACAUGCAAGUCGAGCGAACGGACGAGAAGCUUGCUUCUCUGAUGUUAGCGGCGGACGGGUGAGUAACACGUGGAUAACCUACCUAUAAGACUGGGAUAACUUCGGGAAACCAGAGCUAAUACCGGAUAAUAUUUUGAACCGCAUGGUUCAAAAGUGAAAGACGGUCUUGCUGUCACUUAUAGAUGGAUCCGCGCUGCAUUAGCUAGUUGGUAAGGUAACGGCUUACCAAGGCAACGAUGCAUAGCCGACCUGAGAGGGUGAUCUGCCACACUGGAACUGAGACACGGUCCAGACUCCUACGGGAGGCAGCAGUAGGGAAUCUUCCGCAAUGGGCGAAAGCCUGACGGAGCAACGCCGCGUGAGUGAUGAAGGUCUUCGGAUCGUAAAACUCUGUUAUUAGGGAAGAACAUAUGUGUAAGUAACUGUGCACAUCUUGACGGUACCUAAUCAGAAAGCCACGGCUAACUACGUG